rnacentral:rRNA from 1 species
GUUUUCCCCUACCGGGAGGCAGCAGUAGGGAAUCUUCGGCAAUGGGGGCAACCCUGACCGAGCAACGCCGCGUGAGUGAAGAAGGUUUUCGGAUCGUAAAGCUCUGUUGUAAGUCAAGAACGAGUGUGAGAGUGGAAAGUUCACACUGUGACGGUAGCUUACCAGAAAGGGACGGCUAACUACGUGCCAGCAGCCGCGGUAAUACGUAGGUCCCGAGCGUUGUCCGGAUUUAUUGGGCGUAAAGCGAGCGCAGGCGGUUUGAUAAGUCUGAAGUUAAAGGCUGUGGCUCAACCAUAGUUCGCUUUGGAAACUGUCAAACUUGAGUGCAGAAGGGGAGAGUGGAAUUCCAUGUGUAGCGGUGAAAUGCGUAGAUAUAUGGAGGAACACCGGUGGCGAAAGCGGCUCUCUGGUCUGUAACUGACGCUGAGGCUCGAAAGCGUGGGGAGCGAACAGGAUUAGAUACCCUGGUAGUCCACGCCGUAAACGAUGAGUGCUAGGUGUUGGAUCCUUUCCGGGAUUCAGUGCCGCAGCUAACGCAUUAAGCACUCCGCC